rnacentral:tRNA from 1 species
GCUCGAGUGGUGGAACUGGUAGACACGUUGGAUUCAAAAUCCAAUUCUUUCGAGAGUGCGGGUUCGAUUCCCGCCUCGAGUA